UACGGGGGGGGCAAGCGUUGUUCGGAAUUACUGGGCGUAAAGGGCGCGUAGGCGGUUCGCUAAGUCGGAUGUGAAAACUCUGGGCUCAACCCAGAGCCUGCAUCCGAAACUGGCGGGCUAGAGUUCUGGAGGGGGUAGCGGAAUUCCUGGUGUAGCGGUGAAAUGCGUAGAUAUCAGGAGGAACACCUGUGGUGUAGACAGCUUACUGGACCAUAACUGACGCUGAGGCACGAAAGCGUGGGUAGCAAACAGG
rnacentral:rRNA from 1 species